CAGAUGGGAAUUUCCCUUAGACAAAGAUGUUCUAAGGGCAGAAAGGAAAAUGAUUGGUUGACAGAUUCAACCAAUGAAAUUGAAGCAGAGGCGGGGUCAGGAAAUUUGGACUUGUGGAGGGAAUACUUCAGACAGAAACGUUAUUAGCGCUUCGUGGGAGGCAUUUGUUGCAAGAUGCUGUGCAGUGAGAUGGUCAGUGAUGUAGUGUUCCUGGCAUGGAAGUUUCUUGCACAAAAGAAAGUGGUCCAGAAAAUAUAUGAAAAUGAGGAUGUUCAUGAUUCAAUAUCCCAUACUAAAUAGUUUAGUUGCAGGAAGACCUUACAAAGAUUUCUGGAGACUGAGAGACUGAGAGACUGGCUUUGAGAAGAUAUUUGGAAAAGCAACCUCUGACUUUGGGCUUGGUUUAAAGGGAGCCUGUUCAAAUUUGUUGACUCAUGUCUAAAAUAAAAAUAAAAAAUACAAAAAUAAAACACUUAAAAACCUCUAGGAA